AACGAACGCUGGCGGCAGGCCUAACACAUGCAAGUCGAGCGCCCCGCAAGGGGAGCGGCGGACGGGUGAGUAACGCGUGGGAAUAUGCCCUUUGCUACGGAAUAGUCUCGGGAAACUGGGGGUAAUACCGUAUACGCCCUUUGGGGGAAAGAUUUAUCGGCGAAGGAUUAGCCCGCGUUGGAUUAGGUAGUUGGUGGGGUAAUGGCCUACCAAGCCGACGAUCCAUAGCUGGUUUGAGAGGAUGAUCAGCCACACUGGGACUGAGACACGGCCCAGACUCCUACGGGAGGCAGCAGUGGGGAAUCUUAGACAAUGGGGGCAACCCUGAUCUAGCCAUGCCGCGUGAGUGAUGAGGGCCUUAGGGUUGUAAAGCUCUUUCAGCUGGGAAGAUAAUGACGGUACCAGCAGAAGAAGCCCCGGCUAACUCCGUG
rnacentral:rRNA from 1 species